AAAUCCUGCACCGUUACGGUUGCUACCCGGGCAUAUUAGUUGAGCACGCAUCCUCGCUGUCUGCGGUUUCCUUAGUCAACAGAAAACUGCAGAGCCCUCCAAAUCAAGAACUCCUCCACUCAUCUUGCCAUGACUGAAGCUGUGACUAGUGGCCCAAGUGGACCUUCAGCUAUACUAACUCUGUAACACAAGGAACUUUGAUUGUUCCCUUUUGCCUUUCUAAUAUGAAGUGUGUGUUUUUGGUUUCUUACUCCACUCUAGCACACCCUAAUGAGGUAUGUCUACCACCCUAAAAAUGAUCUCUGGUCCAUUCUGGCUCCACCACUUUCUGGAUCCUGUUAGACCACAUCAGAACUGGUCCAAGACACCACACACCUGGCUUUUCUCAACUCGCGUACCUUUUUAAGCUGUCCAUCUAAUUCUCCAAGACAACUCCAAGUUUGAAAACGAUUGCAAAAAUGCUGACGUGAAUCCUUGGCUGAAAAAGCUUGUUAGAACACAGCUUGCUCAAACAAAUAUCUCCUCUAGUACCGAUCAACACAUCACAUCAACGGGUGUAACCAUAAGAAAUGGUUAACUAAGGAAAAGCAGUCCAGUGUAAAUACUUUCUAAUAUGCAUAAUGUAUUUUAAUGUUUUGUGCAGGUGAUAAGCAGAUGGUGCUGGUUAAAGAAGAAGCUCCUGAAGACCCCAGACCUUGUGCUGACCUACAUGACCCAAAGUGGAACAGGAGGGAGUCUUCAUUAGUCUGAGUGGAGAGCAGCUCUGUGAGAAUGAGGAGAUUCACGCCUUCAAGUUUUCAGUCACAGCUACUGCCAUAAAGAGUGAAGAUGAUAAACAUUCCUCUUUGCACUCACAGCUUUAUCAAGACCCAAUUAAAGACGGAGAGCUUCCAGAAGAGAAGAGUAGCAGAGAACCAAUCAUGACAGGAAGUCGUGGAGAUGUUUCCAACUCUUCAGAACCUGAAUGGAAGGAGAGCAGAGCUCCUAAGUCAAUUAAAAACUUUAAAAAGCCUUUUAGGUCCUCUGACGUUGAUGAAGAAUUUGUUCAAUGUUCAUUGUCUCUCCAGAAACACACAGAUUUCUUAUCCUCCAACCUCGCUGGAGGAUAAGAAAUGUUUGACUGAGAAGAAAAAUGUCUGGAAGGAAAGUCCAGACCGAAGGGAAGCUUAACUGUGAAGACUGUGAUAAAACAUUGACCGGAAAGCAAGCUUUACCCAGACAUAAGAAGAUCCACACAGGACAGAAAGAUCUAUGUUGUGACCUUUACAGAGUCAGAUUCAGCUGCAAAUUGUAUUGAAACGCACAUGUGAGAAUCCACACAGGACAGAAAAAUUUCUGUUGUGGACACAGAUACAACCAGAAGUGACAUUUAAACACACCGGAGCGAAACCCGUCUGCUGUGAUAUCUGUGGUAAUGGAUUUGUCGAAAAAUACAUGAGAAUUCACACAGGAGAGAAACCUUUCUGUUGUGAAAUUUACAGAUGUGGGUUGUUGAAAUAAUAUUUUAAAUUAGCACAAUACUGCACAGGAUAGUUUUGAUACAUAUGAAAUAUACCAUAGAAAGUUAAAGUACACUCUACAUUCACAUAAAUUUAGAUAAAAAUCCAAACUAAAACAACUGCUGAAUCUCUGAACUUAUAUAAAUUCUUAGGGAGGAUUCUACAGAAAAGACAGGCCUAGAAUCUCUUUACACAGAGAGUCUGUCUGCCAGGCAAUUAACAAAUUCCUGAGCAUGGUUCAAAAGUUCACUAGGAUCUUAAAACUUUUUAUAAAUAAUUUUAUCUAUAUUAGAAUUAACUAUAUUUCUUUAAGAAUGUUUUUAAUUAGUUACUUAUUAGAUCCAAACUUAUAGUCAUUAUUUAGCAUUACAUUGUGUGCAAGCUUGGUUAAAAAUACAAACUACUUUCUUGUGGAAACAUUUUGAGGCACAGAUAGCGCUGCAGCUGCAAUCAUAUAUCAAACUGGACAGCGGCUGAUACGAGAAGGGUUUGCCGUAUAUCUGCUUUUGGGGCUCUUUAGCAGGAGGUAAUAAAAUUAACAUUGAGACAGCCCACACAAAGGAAAAGAACACACCUCCUAAUGCAUAUAUUUAAAUGAGGAGAAUAUGCAGUCUAUAAAAAAUGGUUUGUUUCACAGCAGAAGUUGGAAUCUCUUUGUGCUGAGUGAGAGUUUCCCGGAGGAUGCAUCUUCUGUCUUUUUUACUCAGUUCUUUGUCUCUGUUCUGUAAUGUCUUGGACUUUUGAUAUUCUAGGUGAGGUGCUUAUUGUAACAUUCUUCUUGCAUUGAUUUUCUCUGGAUAAAACUCUGAAUAUCUGAAGUCUGA